UUUUCAUUCUCCAUGAAUACACAGAAAUAGGAGAUGACACUAAGAUUAAUUUGACUGUGCAGUAUGGGACACGAAGGGUUAAAUGAAUUUCGGCAUUCAGUGUCUCCCACCAAUCAUACGGCAAUACGUUUUAAGGGGGCGCGGCUAAUCCGAACGCCAGUUUUGGCACGAAUAGCCGGGAUACACCCCCGGCCAGUGAUUGGCCUAGAGCUGUCAUAAAUUGAAUCCUGGAAGGAGAGUCCGGUUGCCUUGCCUCAGAUGAAGGUGCUUUAGCAGCGCCGAAACGCGCGUUAGGUAGCUUAGGUUAUUUUUAAUAGACAGGUAGUUAGUAUACUAUCCGAUCGAUUUCCUCUUGAUUAUUUUCCUUUUUUUUAUUUCAUUGUGAGCAUUUGGGGUGUGCUAUUGGACGCAAUGGGGAUUCCUAUAAGGGGUGGUGGAGUUUUUGGU